rnacentral:lncRNA from 1 species
UUCAAUACAGGUUUAAUGAAGCUCCCGUUUGAUCUCCCCGGUUUUGCGUUUCGAAACGCCAGGCUGGCCGUUGAGCAAUUAGUCGAAACCCUUGGUGAUUGUGCUACUCAAAGUAAAAAGAGGAUGUCUGAAGGAGACGAGCCUUCUUGUUUAAUCGAUUUUUGGAUGCAAGAAACUGUUAGAGAAAUAGCGGAGUCCAAAACGGCGCCACCUCGCUCUAGCGACGUAGAAAUCGGCAGUUACCUCUUUGAUUUUCUCUUCGCCGCUCAAGACGCCUCCACUUCGUCGCUCCUCUGGGCGGUGACCCUCCUCGACUCUCAUCCCGAUGUUCUCCGUAGAGUUCGGGAGGAAGUAUCAAGGAUUUGGUCGCCGGAGUCGGAUACUUUAAUAAGCGCAGAGCAACUGAGGGAAAUGAAGUACACUCAAGCAGUGGCGCGUGAGGUUAUAAGAUAUCGGCCCCCGGCGACGCUAGUACCACACAUUGCAAUGAAGGAUUUCCCGUUGACCGAGUCAUACACAAUUCCCAAGGGCACGAUCGUGUUCCCCUCGGUUUACGAAUCAUCCUUCCAAGGGUUCACGGAGGCGGACCGGUUCGAACCGGAGCGAUUCUCGGAGGAUAGGCAAGAGGAGGUGAUUUUCAAACGAAACUACCUGGCAUUCGGUGCUGGGCCCCACCAGUGCGUGGGCCAAAGGUACGCCUUGAAUCAUCUGGUGCUUUUCAUUGCCAUGUUCGUCACGGUGCUCGAUUUCAAGCGACACCGAACCGAGGGCUGUGAUGAAAUCAUGUAUUGCCCGACCAUCAGUCCCAAAGACGGCUGCCGCGUCUCCUUAUCUCGGAGGUGCUCGCGUUAUCCCAAUCUCUCUCUUAAUUGACCAAAAAGCCCUCCAAAGUUCUCUCGCCUUCUUUUCCGGUGAACUUGGUAGCUCUCUGUGAUUAUUGUCCUUUGCUGCUUCUCACGUCCUUCAAGGCUGGGACCGUCAAACCUUGUUUGUGGCUAUGAUUCUUUGAUGUGAGGUAUUUUUAUGUACAUACACAUUGAUGGAGGGUUUGGAUAAUUUCUUCUUUUUUUUCCCUUAAAUUAAUAAAUGAAAAUUGGUUGGUGUUUUAUCAAAUAAACAAAAAAUUGUAUUUUAAAGUUGUAAAGGUCCUUAAAAUAUUAAUUGGUCACAAUAAUUACUACAAUUACAAAGGACAAUCCUGCACCUGCAUACAAAAUUCAUAAAACCAUUGCAAUAAUUUAAGACAGCUUACUCCAAUAAUAGAGUUAUGUGUUUGCAUUAUAAUGAUAAUAAUAAUGGUGUCAUUUGAUCACUAUCUUCUUUAUUUGCAUGAAUAUAAUUUGGCAUUUUAGGCAAAAAUGACAAUAAUUCUGAGUUUGAAAUUACCUUUUUUAACACGAUAAAAGUAUUUUAUGCAUAAGUAAUCCAUGUUAUACUCGUGCCCAUAUCGUUUUCGCUCCCGACAGAAAUGUGUUGCCGAGUACUAUUUUUGGAUUUAUUAUUAUUUUUAAAUAUUUUUCAUAUUUAUUUUUUAGUUUUUUAAUAAAGUAGGUUACAAGAAUGAGACAUCCCACUAUCUUAUCCUCACUCUCAAUCAUAAAAAGAUAAUUUUAAUUUAAAAUAUCAAAAUUUUAUAUUAAUCCAAAUGGGUCAAAAUACAACAAAAUGUUUGAACUGCCCUCAAAUUUUAAUCAAAAGUUACGAUUUGACUUAAAUGAUAUUAACUACUAUGGACAUGAAAUUUAGACUGCAACAUAAAAAUUCAAAAUUUAUCUUCUUCAUUUGAAUUUGUAUUUAUUUUAAUAAAACAAAAUGACAAGUGACAUGGAAUAACAUUGGCUAAUAUAUUAAUUUUAGCAGAUAUAUAACUAAAUAUUCCAUUGCAAAACCUAUAUUAUAAUUAGACUUAUCAUGAGUUAGGUCAUUUGUCCAGAUCCGAAGGUCUGCUUGAAAAGUGGAUGGAUUUAAGUAAAAAUAUAGGUAUAAAAAUAGGCUUGGACAAAAAACAAUACUCUUCUUCUAAAUGAGUCAAACCUCGAGUAAGUUUUUUCCUAGGCCCAAUUUAAAAUUGCCUAAAUAUUUUUUUCAUUCUUGUUUGCUACUAUUUUGCCAUGGUUUGCUGCCAUUUUGACAUUUUACUGCCAUUUUGCUAUUAUAUUAUUACUAUUUUAAAUAUAUUUGUUUAUUGUAUUAUAAUUAUCCUAGUGUUAUUUAAGUAUAAAUAGUUUUUUAAUGUAUAUUCAAUUUGUUCAGAAACAUUUAUUCUAAUGUUUUUAGUGUAUUUAAUGUAUUAUUUUUAAAAUUUUUUUUAUAUAUAUAAAAAACAUAAAACGGGCGGGUCAAGUCAAGCUCAACAUUUUUUAUUUAGGCUAGACUUGAACAAAAUUCUAAGCCCAUUUUUAGGAUUGAGCCAUACCUACGCCUAGAAAACGGGCUUAACAUUUUGUAUUACUCCGAUCUAGCCAUGAUCAGGUCAAGCGAUAACCCCCAAAAUUAAAAGAAAUGAGGAAUUAAAGUUAUUACUAUAUCAUAAAUUUAUACUUUACAAGUUUAAAAUGGGGUUAAUUUAUGUUUUAAUGCUGAAAAAGAUUUAUACAAAAUUUUAAUUUCUAACCGUAAAAAAAAUAAUUAAAUAAAAACGCGCCCUAUAAAUCGUAUUUUCACUCCUCUCAAAAUAUAAAGUAAAUCGAUAAAUUUUAAAAUAUCAACUUAGAUUCUCAAAUAAAUUUUUUUUCCAAUAUGUACAUAAAUUAACAUUUAAAAUGGUUAAAAAGUGUUUUUUUCUUUUAUUUACUUCACUUUAUGGUAACGGUGUUAAAUUAUUUCUAAAAAAAAAAAGAAAAGAAAAACAAAAUAGAAAAGGAGAUAUGGCUAAAUUAUAUGGCGAGAAAGAUGAAUGGUUAUAAAUGUUUCCCAGGACCGGGAUGUGACGAUCCAUUUAUUAAUUAAAACCUUCUAGAAAGAUUGAAUUUGAAAUUUAAAAUAUGUUUGGUUUUAGUUGUGUUUUGAAAUCAAAAUGAUCCCAUUGAUUUGAGUUAUCAAUUAAUAUUAUUCAAAGAAGUUAAUCCCACUUUUAAACACUUAAGAGGCCCCAAAGAAUAUUCAAAAAAGAAGGCCCUAAAUUAAAACACGAUCAACGUUAGAAUUUGUUAUAUUCCUGGAAAGAUUUUCCUUUUUCUUUUCUUUCUCCAGUUGUCUAAAAUUUUGUGUCAACAGAAUUCUCCGUAGUCGAUAUAAAAUACACAUUAAAUUAUUAGUAAAUUUAUAUUUUAAUCAUUCAAUUUUAAAAUGUUAUACAGUAGCCAUUAAAUUAUUUAAAAGAUUUUGUUAAAAUCAUUAUUAUAUGACUUUCUCCAUUUGCUUGGCCUACAUCAAUCAAAAGCUCUCUUUUUUUCUCCUAUAUUCUAUAUUUAAUUUUUUUUUCCAUGAAACUACUUUAAACCUCACGAUUUUGCAAACUAAAAGCCAAACAGGUUUCUUCUCCGAUCUCUCACACUGACUGUCAGAUUGAUUUGGAUCUUAAGUAUGUCCUUCUACUCGUCGAUGUGUAUUCAUCCACCAUAUUGACCAUCGAAUUGUUGCUUAAAGCUCAUUAGCCGAACUUUAUAAAAGGAAAAUUUAACAACCUAGUGACUUAAAUAAAAACUUUUGAAUUGUUCAAUGACUUAAAUGAAAUUUUUGAAUAAUUCAAUGACCACUUUAUAAAUUUUUAAAGUUAAGUGACCAAAAAAUAAACUUAUUAAUAAUUUAGUGACUUUAAAUGUAAUAUACUCAUAUAAAAAAAUAGAUACUAUGAACUGGUGGUGCCACUUUCAACCUUUUAAUUUUUAAACUCUCAUGACAAAUAGGGUUUGCUUGUUUAUAAGUAUUAGCCUUUAAUGUCACAUGUGUUACCCAUUAUUUUAUACAUUUUUAAUUUAUAGAAUAAUAUAUAUUUUUUAAUUUAAAAAUGCAUUUAUAUUGAUUAAAUUGUACUAAAUGUCAAUUUCUUUUGAAAAAUAAUGGAGAGACUAAAACAACGUAUUAAAAAUAAUAAAAACAAAAAUUGAAUUAAUGUAUAAAAUUAUCAAAGUAAUAUACAAAUUUGAAAAUAUAUGAGAAAGUAAAUACCAAAAUAUUUACACAAAAUCAACGAUGACUAAAAAAUAGUUGUAAAAUUUUGAAUUUCUUUUCAAAACAAAUAUUUUAUUUGCAUCAAACAAAUAAUAGAUAAAGAAAAGAAUAGAUUUAAGAUUACUUGCUUUGUGUAGUAUAAACAACUUACAAAUUUUUAAAAAGUAAUAUCAUGAUAUUAUAUUACCUCAUCAUUAAUUAAAAUAAGAUUUUAUCUCAUUUUGGUGUCAUUAUUAUUCGAACAUAAUUCGAUAUUGACUCUUCAAAGAAACAUUAGCACUGCUUGAAUGCUUUAUUCUUUUUUCUAUAAUUCUAUCUUAUUAUCAUUAAUCGCCUGUAAUUUUUCUUAAAUGCUCUAAGUGGUUGCAUAUACCUAACCAUUGAGUGUUACUUAUAAAGCUAAAAACAACUCUAAUAUUAAUUAAAUGAGAAUCAAGAUACUUAUAGUUUUAUUCAAUUAAUAAAUCUAUUUUUACAUAAAUAAUAUUGGCAUAAUAUUUUUUUAAAAAUAAAAUAAAAAUUAUAAUAGGGUCAAAAUUAAAGUAUAACUAUUUUUAAUUAAUAAUUAUAAUUAUAAUUCUAUACAAGUAAAAAUUCUAUUAUGAAAUUAGCAAAAAAAUUAUUUUCAUAAAAGAAUGUUUUAAAUAAAAAUUAUAAAUUUAAUUAUAAUUAUUUUUAAAUGUGUAAUUAUCACAACUUCUAUUUUAAGUUAAUAUUUUUAAUUAAUAAUUCUAAAUUAAAUAUUAUAAAUAUUUUUAAAUAUCAAUUUAAUAAUAUGAUGAAAAAUGAAGAAUAUUUUUGUUAGUUCAAAAGUUUUUCUAAACCGUAAUUUUAUAUAUACUAAAGAUUAAUAAAGAGUAAUUUAGUUAUUAUUUUAAAAUUUUGUAAUAUUUAAUCAUCCUACUUUUUCAUAAAUUUAAUAAGAAGUAAUUUUUUUAUUACAUGUUUAUUGUUUUAAUAUCACAAUCACCACUACCAUUAAACACUCAUGAUAUUUUCUAAUAAACGGCACGUAUCUAAAAGCGUAGGAGACUUGGCAUCCUUUAUUAAAUGAUACAAUACACCCUUUAAAUAUUUUAAGAAUUUAAAUUUAAACUAAUUUUUUCCGAAUUAUUUAAUUUAAUUUAAUAUUAAAAUUUAAAAAAAUAAUAAUUCAAUUUAAAAUAUUUUAGGGUUAAAAUAUAAAUUUAUCAUUAUAAUUUGUUUUCAUUGAUAUGUGCCAUUAUAUUUUAAUAAUAUGAGCAAAAUUACUAUUUAACUUUUAUGCGAUUUAAUUCUAUUACUAACCUUUUAUUUUUGAAAUUUGCAAUCAAUUUUGAUUUUUUAAUUAAAUUUUACAGCUCAACGUUAAAUUUGAUAAUUUGAAAACUUGAUUUAAUAAAAAAUAUUUUAUUUUAAUAGUUAAUAAUGAUUUAACUUAUAAAUAUUAAAAAUUAAUAAAUUAACUUAGAAGUUGUAUUUAAUGAAUCGAAAACUUGAAAUAAUAAGAAAAACAAGUUUAUUUUAUAAAAUAACCAUUUUUAUUUAUUUUAAUAUUAUAUUAAUUAAAUUAUUAUUGAUAAAUAUUAAAGUAAAAUAUAAAAAAUGAUUUAUUAAAUUUGGUCUUCAAACUAUUUAAAAUUAAACUUGGCAAAAUUCAAUUAAACUUUAACUUUAAAAUCAAAUAAAGGUAAAAAAAAAUCAAAAUAGAGUAUAAUGAUAAAUUUAUCUUUAAUUUAUAAGAACAAUGAUAAAAUAUUAAUCAUGAUUUUCAAUUUCCGCUGAAAAUAUAGUCACCAAAUUGCAUAUUAACCAAACAUUUUAAUAUAAAAUUAUAAGAUAUGGCGUUUUAAAAGAAUAUAUUUCAUCUCCACCCAAAACAAAACGUUUAAUUUUGUGCUUACCAAUAAAUAGAGUGAAAACGGGUGGGAAUAUAUAAAAUUUAAUCUUAAAGUAGGGGCAAAGGCAGAACAAUUUUUUAUGGCGAAUGAAAUUUUAACUUUUUAUAUAGUCUAUAUCUUUAUAAUUUUUAAAGGAUUAAAUUAAAUUUUUAUAAUUUUAAGAAGGUCAAAAUAUAAUUUUACCUUUACUAAUUUAAAAUUUUAAAAAAACUAAAGGACCUAAAUGACAAAUUUUCAUUUUAGGGAGGCCGGGUCCCAUUGCCCCCCCCCCUCCCCCCGGGCGAGUCGCCUCUGCCCUAAAGGAUGCUUCCAACCAUGUGAAAGAUAAUUUGCCUCAUUGAUGAUGCAAUGAAGAUGUUGGGUCAAAGAAAAAAGUGAUAAGCAACCGAAGAAAAGAAGGUCAAACAGCCUAAUUGGAGGUCCAAAUUAGUAUAUGGAGAUUAGCAUUUGGCAAAUUAGCAUGUUAACCGAAAGCCAAACUGUGCUGGCCAUCUGCGUCAAAGAAAAACAAAUAUGACUAGUCUAGAAAGAUUGUUUUGAAUGAGAAUAGUUUGAUGGUUUCGUGGUCACUCGGGACAAUUUAAGAAUGACAAAAUUUGACUAUUGUCUGAAAUAUUAUCAACUCAAACCUUGAAACAUCUCUUACUUGGUAAUUUAGUGCUAAACCAAAACUAAAUAAUGUUUGUAAAAAUAGAUUAGCGACUUAAAAUGGCAGUGUCUGUGUGAUAAUGGCGGGGAACCCAAUGUACUAUUCACUGCCUCUCAGCCUCACAUCUUCAUUACUUGCAUUCCCUUCCCAAUCUAUAAUAAUAAACCCAUCAACUAAAUCGAAUUUAAAAUCUAUCUUUACCACUAUGUACAGUAAUUCUACUUGAUGAUGAAUUAAAUUCCUAAAAAAAUAAUUAAAAAAAACACUUCAACAAAAUUGCAAGUAAUUAGUGAUGUUAGCAAUGACACUAACAUCUCGAAGCUGUUUCUCAGUUUGGUUGAUGGCCAGUUUACUGUUGGAACUUUUCGACAAAACAAAUACAAGUGCCAUCGAAGGAAGGGAAAAGGACACUUUUCACACUAUUUAUUGCUCAAUUUGACUUGCUCUCCUCGCUAUUUAUAGCUUUUUGCUUUUUCUACAAUUACUUUUUCACUUUAAAAUUUCCUUCGUUUAUUAUAAAAUUAGAUGCAACCAAAUAUAUUUCAAUUACAUUUAUAUUAAUAUAAGUAUUAAAAUUAAUAAUUAUAUUCAAUAACUUAAUUAAACUAAUUAAUAUUAUUAGUUAAUACAAUUGACAUGAUUACAUUUAUAUUCAAUUACUUCAUAAAGCAACAUUAUUUAAAAUAAUAACUAAUUGACAUACUUAAAUUAUUUUAAUCAUUCAAAUAUAAUACUAAUAAAAAUAAUUUAAUCAUUAUUAAAUUAAUUAUUUGUACAAAACUGAGAAAAUGUAAAUUAAACUCUUCACUCCUUUUUUAUUAGUCAAUAAAUUGACUUCAUAAAUAAUAUAUAAUCAAUACAAUUAUAAUACAUUAGAUGAAUUAUUUAUAAAAUCUUAUAUAUUAAAUACGGAGUUUCUUUUUUUCUUUUUUACUUUUCAAACAAAGUAAUAUAUCUUUUAGUUAAGGAAGCAUAAUAAUUUAAACAAAUUUUUUUUAUCUAACAAAUAUAAGUAGUUUAAUAUAAAAUUUAUUUUUAUUAUUAUAUAAAUUCAUUUAAUAAAUUUUUUAAAAUAGAAUAAAAAAUUUUAUUUAGAUAAAAUUUCUUAUUAAAUCAAUUUGUUUAGUGAAAUUAAAAAUAUUGUGGCAAAUCUUGUAAAUAAGAAAAGAAAACAUGGUUUUGUUUUUGCCAUCUGCCCCUCCAAUCUUACUAUAAAUAAUUAAUUAGCUAAACGUAUGGCUGAAUUCAUUGGUUGAGUUGGCAUGAAUAUGAUAUUGAUUGGUUGAUGUAUAAAUAUGAUUUAUAUAUUGAUGCGCAUUGUUGUUGAAGAGAAAACAAGAAUAUCUUUAUUUCCACUAUAGUUUUCUCCACCCAAAGAAGGAUAUGUACUAGUUUAAAUAUUAAAUAAAAAAUUAAUUAAGAGUUUUGUCAGUACCUGGAUUUUGCUAAUCAACUUUGCAAAUAUCAGAAUCCUUAUUGCCAACCUGUUGGCGGUUUGAUCACAUAGGCGAAAUAAUUUUAAAUUCCGAAACGAUGAAAGCAAUUUUGGGAAGCAAUAAGUUUACCAAAGUUCAUUGUGGGCUUUUCUACUUAUAUACAAAAACAUAAAAAGAUCUAAUAUUGUACACUACAUGGUUCAAUGAAUGACAAGAAAGAGGUGGUGGAAGGUGGCGCUUAGACGGUACUACUCUUAAAAUCUAACACAAACAGUUGAGAGUUCAAAAGAAAAAUGGUGCAACCUUUUUUUAUAAGCGACACCAAAGUAUUUUUCUCAUAAUGAUGCCCAUGGAAAAGGCAGCAAAGAAUUUAGAUAGUAAUGUCUAUAGAAAAGCGACAUCAACUACUAUCCUAUUAUUUAGAAAGAAUUAGAUAAAUUCACAUCGUAACUACUCAUUCAAAUUUAUAUAAUUAUCUUAUUGAUAUCACCAUUAUUUAUGAAGAAUCAUUGUGUCUAUUCAAAAGUUAAGAAACUAGAAUUCUUAAUGAUUGAUAUAUAUAUAAUAUAACCCCACUACAUAGUUAAAGUUUUUGAACUGACCCACAUGCAAAUAGCAUCUAAUAUUGUUGUAUAUAUUACUGAAAAUUUGAAGAACAAAACUACUUUUUAUAUACAUAUAGAAACAAAUUCCCUUCAAUGCAAGCUUCUCGAAGCAUUGCUUCAGUGACAUAGAAAUUUCAACACCUUCCCUUCCCUUUCUCUGCUUUGACCAUCGAUUCCCUCUAUUUAUAUUCUUUCUGCCUUCCCCAGUUUCCUCUACGCGCCUAGACGAAAUGGUCUCUUAUUUAUCCUUUCUUUCGCCUUUCGCUCCAUUUUUUGUCACCUUUUUGCUUCUUUUUCUUUUCGUAGAGCAAAUCUCGUACUUGCGUAAAAAGCGAAAUGUCCCUGGCCCCAAUAUCAUCCUGCCUUUUUUGGGCAACGCCAUUUCAUUAAUCACAAAACCAACAAGCUUCUGGGAAGUUCAAGCUGAUUUGGCUGCUUCUCUUGGAUUUUCUGUUAAUUAUAUCAUCGGUCGCUUCAUCGUCUUUAUCCGAAACACCGAGCUUUCCCACCUUAUCUUCGCUAACGUCCGACCCGAUGCUUUUUUACUUGUGGGACACCCUUUUGGUAAAAAGCUUUUCGGUGAACAUAACAUGAUUUAUAUGUUUGGACAGGAUCACAAAGAUCUUCGCCGUCAAAUCGCUCCUAACUUCACUCCUAGGGCUCUCUCUACCUAUACUGCAUUGCAACAGAUUAUCAUUCUCCAACACUUAAGGUCGUGGGAGCGUCUUUCCUCGGAAUCGCCGGGGAAGCCGAUUUCUCUUCGCCUUUUAGCUCGCGACAUGAACCUAGAAACCUCUCAAACUGUUUUCGUGGGCAGGUAUUUGUCUCAUGAAGCUCGGGACAAGUUCAGAGACGAUUAUAAUCUAUUCAAUACAGGUUUAAUGAAGCUCCCGUUUGAUCUCCCCGGUUUCGCGUUCCGAAACGCCAGGCUGGCCGUUGAGCGAUUAGUCGAAACCCUUGGUGAUUGUGCUACUCAAAGUAAAAAGAGGAUGUCUGAAGGAGAUGAGCCUUCUUGUUUAAUCGAUUUUUGGAUGCAAGAAACUGUUAGAGAAAUAGCGGAGUCCAAAACGGCGCCACCUCGCUCUAGCGACGUAGAAAUCGGCAGUUACCUCUUUGAUUUUCUCUUCGCCGCUCAAGACGCCUCCACUUCAUCGCUCCUCUGGGCGGUGACCCUCCUCGACUCUCAUCCCGAUGUUCUCCGUAGAGUUCGGGAGGAAGUAUUAAGAA